GGUGAUGUGCCGGACAAUUUAACGGGCUGUGGUGAUGUCGCAGAUUAUAAGGUGAAUGUUUAUGUGUGCCUUCUUCACUU
rnacentral:tRNA from 1 species